UUUUUGUGGAGGGUUCGAUUCUGGCUCAGGAUGAACGCUGGCGGCGUGCUUAACACAUGCAAGUCGAACGGGAUCCCAGGAGCUUGCUCCUGGGUGAGAGUGGCGAACGGGUGAGUAAUGCGUGACCGACCUGCCCCAUACACCGGAAUAGCUCCUGGAAACGGGUGGUAAUGCCGGAUGCUCCAGUUGACCGCAUGGUCCUCUGGGAAAGCUUUUGC
rnacentral:rRNA from 1 species